UACGUAGGGUGCGAGCGUUGUCCGGAAUUAUUGGGCGUAAAGAGCUUGUAGGUGGUUUGUCGCGUCUGCUGUGAAAAUCCGAGGCUCAACCUCGGACUUGCAGUGGGUACGGGCAGACUAGAGUGUGGUAGGGGAGACUGGAAUUCCUGGUGUAGCGGGGGAAUGCGCAGAUAUCAGGAAGAACACCAACGGCGAAGGCAGCUCGCUGGGACGGUACUGACGCUGAGACGCGAAAGCGUGGGGAGCGAACAGG
rnacentral:rRNA from 1 species